GGGUUGUGAGGUUAAGCGACUAAGCGUACACGGUGGAUGCCCUGGCAGUCAGAGGCGAUGAAGGACGUGCUAAUCUGCGAUAAGCGUCGGUAAGGUGAUAUGAACCGUUAUAACCGGCGAUUUCCGAAUGGGGAAACCCAGUGUGUUUCGACACACUAUCAUUAACUGAAUCCAUAGGUUAAUGAGGCGAACCGGGGGAACUGAAACAUCUAAGUACCCCGAGGAAAAGAAAUCAACCGAGAUUCCCCCAGUAGCGGCGAGCGAACGGGGAGCAGCCCAGAGCCUGAAUCAGUGUGUGUGUUAGUGGAAGCGUCUGGAAAGGCGCGCGAUACAGGGUGACAGCCCCGUACACAAAAAUGCACAUGCUGUGAGCUCGAUGAGUAGGGCGGGACACGUGGUAUCCUGUCUGAAUAUGGGGGGACCAUCCUCCAAGGCUAAAUACUCCUGACUGACCGAUAGUGAACCAGUACCGUGAGGGAAAGGCGAAAAGAACCCCGGCGAGGGGAGUGAAAAAGAACCUGAAACCGUGUACGUACAAGCAGUGGGAGCACGCUUAGGCGUGUGACUGCGUACCUUUUGUAUAAUGGGUCAGCGACUUAUAUUCUGUAGCAAGGUUAACCGAAUAGGGGAGCCGAAGGGAAACCGAGUCUUAACUGGGCGUUAAGUUGCAGGGUAUAGACCCGAAACCCGGUGAUCUAGCCAUGGGCAGGUUGAAGGUUGGGUAACACUAACUGGAGGACCGAACCGACUAAUGUUGAAAAAUUAGCGGAUGACUUGUGGCUGGGGGUGAAAGGCCAAUCAAACCGGGAGAUAGCUGGUUCUCCCCGAAAGCUAUUUAGGUAGCGCCUCGUGAAUUCAUCUCCGGGGGUAGAGCACUGUUUCGGCAAGGGGGUCAUCCCGACUUACCAACCCGAUGCAAACUGCGAAUACCGGAGAAUGUUAUCACGGGAGACACACGGCGGGUGCUAACGUCCGUCGUGAAGAGGGAAACAACCCAGACCGCCAGCUAAGGUCCCAAAGUCAUGGUUAAGUGGGAAACGAUGUGGGAAGGCCCAGACAGCCAGGAUGUUGGCUUAGAAGCAGCCAUCAUUUAAAGAAAGCGUAAUAGCUCACUGGUCGAGUCGGCCUGCGCGGAAGAUGUAACGGGGCUAAACCAUGCACCGAAGCUGCGGCAGCGACGCUGAUGCGUUGUUGGGUAGGGGAGCGUUCUGUAAGCCUGC
rnacentral:rRNA from 1 species